GCCUCUAUAGCUCAGUGGUAGAGCGCUUGACGUAUGUGAUCUCCGUUAUUCUGAAAAUUAACACAUUAAACUAACAUUCAAAAGUUGUACCUUGAUAUCAAGAGGUCCGUGGUUCAAUCCCGCGUGGAGGCA
rnacentral:tRNA from 1 species